UACGUAGGGGGCAAGCGUUGUCCGGAAUCAUUGGGCGUAAAGCGCGCGUAGGCGGCCCGAUAAGUCCGCUGUGAAAGUCAAAGGCUCAACCCUUGAAUGCCGGUGGAUACUGUCGGGCUAGAGUCCGGAAGAGGCGAGUGGAAUUCCUGGUGUAGCGGUGGAAUGCGCAGAUAUCAGGAGGAACACCCGUGGCGAAAGCGGCUCACUGGACCAUAACUGACGCUGAGGCGCGAAAGCUAGGGGAGCAAACAGG
rnacentral:rRNA from 1 species